GACGAACGCUGGCGGCGUGCCUAAUACAUGCAAGUAGAACGCUGAAGAGAGGAGCUUGCUCUUCUUGGAUGAGUUGCAAACGGGUGAGUAACGCGUAGGUAACCUGCCUGGUAGCGGGGGAUAACUAUUGGAAACGAUAGCUAAUACCGCAUAAAAUUGAUUAUUGCAUGAUAAUUAAUUGAAAGAUGCAACUGCAUCACUACCAGAUGGACCUGCGUUGUAUUAGCUAGUUGGUGAGGUAACGGCUCACCAAGGCGACGAUACAUGGCCGACCUGAGAGGGUGAUCGGCCACACUGGGACUGAGACACGGCCCAGACUCCUACGGGAGGCAGCAGUAGGGAAUCUUCGGCAAUGGGGGGAACCCUGACCGAGCAACGCCGCGUGAGUGAAGAAGGUUUUCGGAUCGUAAAGCUCUGUUGUAAGAGAAGAACGGGUGUGAGAGUGGAAAGUUCACACUGUGACGGUAUCUUACCAGAAAGAGACGGCUAACUACGUG
rnacentral:rRNA from 1 species